CCCUGGUUAUCUCGGUUGGUAGAGCGCUGCACUGAAAAUGGAGAGGUCGCGGGUUCGACACCCGGACCAGGCG
rfam:Ixodes scapularis strain Wikel colony gcontig_1108378562384, whole genome shotgun sequence.